CUUUGCGUGCGUUGACAGCUACGACGGCAUCGGCUGUUUACACCGCCGGCGUUGCACCGUCGGCCAGUGUGCCCAUCCCAGCGGUGGCAACACCCCAGCCCGUAAGAUCCGUCGGGCCUUCCGGCGCGUCGGACUUACCGUCUCUGAUCUCCAACACCGCUAAAUUAACCACUGCUCUCCUGUUGACCUUCCCGUCUGCUGUCCUCACGUCCGCUUGUCGAACGCGUCCGUCCGACCCGCUGAACACCUCCACUACUCGACCUCGUACCCAGUUCUUCCGGUUCUUGCCAUCGACCACGAACACCAGGUCGCCCGCUUCGAGGGCUUCCGAUCCUCGAACCACUUUGGACGCCGGUUCAGCGAGGGCAGGUACUCCUUCGACCACCGCUCCCACAUCUUGCCCGCCAGCUGCUGACUCCGCUUGUAAACAUCUCGCAGUGCAGCAGCAGUGUCCACCGUCUCGUCCACUUUGAGGUCCGCACUCGUUACCGUCCCGCGCAGGAAGUGGUUUGGCGUGAUGGCUUCUUCUUCAGCGGAAUCUUGAGGGACGUACGUCAGCGGCCGAGUGUUGAUCAUGUCUUCGGCCUCGGCCAAAGAUGUCGAGAGAAUUUCGUCGGUCAGCUUUCGUCCGUCGUCAAGUGCGCGCAACGCCUCCUUCACCGAUCGCACCAUCCGUUCCCAGGCCCCGCCCAUGUGGGGCGUCCCAGGUGGGAUAAAGGACCAUGAAGUGGUCGGCGACGUCAUCUGCUCCGCGCACUCCUUGUUGAUCUCCUUCGUCAUCGCCGCGUCCGCUCCCCGAAAGCACGUAGCGUUGUCGGAGAACACUUUCUCGGGAACGCCGCGUUUGCACGCGAACCUCCGGAGGGCCAUCAGGCACGAUUGCGUGGUGAGGCUAUGGACCACUUCAAGAUGCACCGCCCUGACCGCUAAGCAUGUGAAGACGGCGAUCCAGCGCUUCUCUCUGCGGCGACCCACCGUGACUUCGACCGGUCCCAGGUAAUCGACGCCCACCGCGCUGAACGGUCGCAUGGUUGCUGCAGUGCGUUCGACCGGAAGCGGCGCCAUUGUUGGGACGAACGGCACACAACGGUUCACCUUGCACCACACACACUCCUUGACGACCUCCAGGAUCGCGGCCCGUGCGUUUGGAAUCCAAAACUUCUGACGCAGCUCGUUGAACACGGUCUCCCGAUUCGCGUGACCGUACUUUUCGUGGUAGUGCUGGAUGAUCUUCUUGGUGAUGGCGUGUUUCCGACCCAGGAUGAUCGGGAAUCGCUUGUCGAACGGGAUCGAUUCGUUCUUCUCCAGCCUCCCACGAACGCGCAGAACCCCAUCCUCGUCGAGCACCGGCAGCAGCUUGUAGAGCGGACUCGACCGCUCGAUCUUCUCUGGCAACUCACCCUGCUUCAGUUGUAGGUUCUUCGUCAGCACGCUCAUCUCGUCGGGAAGCUCUCGAACUGCGCUUGCUUCCACAGAAUCCUCUCGGCCUUCUGCAGCUCGUUUUGUUGCAGCGGUUGGACAUCCGUCUCGUGCUGCGCUUUGACCCGCUUGGCUAGGCGACUCGUGGCCUUUGCAGUCAGUACUGGACGGCCGUCUUUUUUGCGACGACAAUUUUCGAUGAAGCGUACCGCCGUUGCCGUCACCCUCACCAGCUUUGUCCACGUCGAGACCGCUUCUACGUUGACUGUCCCGUGGAACAGUACCACGCCUCGUGCGUCUUCGUUCGUCUCCUCGAUCUGCUCAGGCGGUGAGUCGUGGUCAUCCUGCUCGAACAGUAUCGCCGGACCGUUCCGCCAUUCCGAAUCGUUCUGCAGUGGCGGUCCAGGUCCCCACUUCGUGAGAACGUCCGCGAUGUUCUUCUUGGAAGGCACCCAUCUCCAAUCGUCCAGUCUCGUCAGCUCCAGAAUCUCCCCGACUCGAAAUGCGACGAACUGUUUGUACUUGUAGGGAUCUGCGUGCAGCCACGCAAGGACGGUCCUUGAGUCGGUCCAGAAAACGGUACGGUCGAUCUGCAGCGUGUGAGUUCCGAGGAUCUGCUGGCUCAUGCGCGCUCCCAUGCACGCCGCCAUCAACUCCAGUCGUGGAAUUGAUUGUCGUUUCAGCGGUGCUACCUUCGAUCGCGCCAUGACGAGACUGCAGUGAACUUGGCCGUCGAUGACCGCGCGUAGAUACGCCGCACAACCGUAGGCCAGCUCGCUCGCGUCGCUGAAGAUGUGCAGCUCGAGACUCUCGACCGACGUGGACGUCGCAUCGCCGAAGUAGCUCCGGGGAAAACGAAGUGCUUCGACUUCCGGCAGCAGUGCCGUCCACCGCUUCCACAGAAUCCAGGCUUCGUCGUCGAUGGCUUGAUCCCAUCUGCAUCCGGUCCGCCACAAAUGUUGGAUGAUGAUCUUCCCGUGGAUCGUGAACGGCGACAGCAGGCCGAGCGGAUCGAAAAAUCCCAUCACGCAGCUCAGUACGAUCCGUUUAGUUGGUCUUUUCCCUCUUUCAGGUACUUCAUCAGUUCUUCGCGGUGCAUCACGGCGAAGGCGAAUUCGUCCAGCUCCGGGUCCCACCGCACGCCAAGUACGCGCUCGCUGGGCGUUUGCUUGUCCUGGUUCAGCAGCACAGGACUCAUCGGCUUCUCUUCGCCCAGAGCAGUCAGCACUUCCGGCGAGUUGGACACCCAGUUGCGGAUCUCAAAACCACCUUGUUUGUGGACGUGGCUCACCUGCUUCGCUCGCUUGACAGCUUCCUCGACGGUGUCAACGCUGUCAAAAUAGUCAUCGACAUAGUGCCGAUUGAUGAUCGCUGCCACGGCGUCCGGGUACUGACCGGCAUGCUCUUCCGCAUUGCGGUUCUUGACGUACUGCGCCGACGCCGGCGAACUCUUCGACCCGAAAGUAGCGACGUCCAUCACGUACACUUUCGGCUCUUCGUUAAUGUUGUCCCGGAAGAGGAAGCGUUGUGCUUGUUUGUCCCCGGAGAUAAUCUUCAGCUGGUGGUACAUCUCGCGGAUGUCCCCGCCGAAAGCAACCCGUCGUUCGCGGAACCCACAGAUCACCGACACCAGUGGCACGAGCAGAUCUGGCCCCUUCACCAGCAUCGAGUUGAGAGAGACUCCAUCUACCGUCGCGGCCGCAUCCCAGACCAGUCGAACUUUUCCCGGCUUCUUCGGGUUCACCACCACGUUGAGCGGCAGUCCUUGUCCGGACAGUACCACUUCUUCCCCGACUUCUUGUCAGCCGGAUUGAGGUUGACGCACCGAGCGUGGAACCACAGUUUGCAGCUAUCGCAGCCAACCAUCAGCUCAUCCUCGGUCGACACCUCUUUACAGGUUGAGCAGGGAGUCUCGGUGAAGUCCGGAUUUUCGUCGGCCAUCGUGGAGAGGAUUACCGAACCCUCAAUUAAUUUUGAAGAUUGUUCGGGUGGUAAUUAAAACAACCAAAUUUUUGAUCAGCAGCUCUACGUAGCAGCUUCAAAACUAGAAAUUUACUCACGGAUCACCGAAGUACAAAUUCGCCCCGAGUGACGGUGCGAAACGGCAGAGCAGGUUGCUAGACUUCUUCGCUG